AAUUACUUGGUUGUUUGGCAACCAUAGUCAUCCAAAAGAAAACCAACAAUGCUACGAGUUCCCAGAGAAUUUUGCUGUGUUUUUGGGGAGGAAGAGGAGGCAAUACCUUUGUCAGUAAAUUUGACUUCUAUAAUGUGUAAGACAUCCUUAAUAUAUAAAGAAAUAUUAACUAAAAAUCCAAAGUUAAACCAUGUCACUCAUGUCAAACAUGCCACUCCUCAGUAAUAUCUUUGGUUACCUGCACCAAUAAUUUAUACUGCUGUAAGGGAAUAAAGAAC
rnacentral:lncRNA from 1 species